UGAAGAUUGCGGUGUGACGGUGCUCUGACUCCGCAGUAAGUUAGGACGCUACUGGAGUUGAUGUUCGGUGAUUUUGGGCGCGAGCCGUCGACCACUGUUCGCCAUUGCAGGCAUGACAAGGGAUGCAAACUUGUCAUCUUUCGGCGAAAAUCAGCGUUUUGAAUCCUCAAUAAGUCAUUUGUGUGAUUCGUGCAGAUUCAAUUAGUUUUUUUUAAAGGGUGUGUUUACAUGGUAAAAGAAUUAAAGCAGUGGCACAACUCAGCCAGGAAAACAAGGUGUAAAUGUCUAAUACGUUAACAUGAUGUGAGCAGCAGAGCACACGUUACGUUACAUCGUAACUGUCAGAAAAUGGUGAAGAAUGAUGAUCACUGUUUCCCAAAGACCAAGGUGACGUCCUUAAGUGUCUGCCAUGAACCGAUGUCUGCCUUAAAUUACUUCAGUAGCAAGACGCUCAUCAAGGCAAGGUGAUGAUUGUCCGAGGGAAAGGGAAAAUGCAGCAUGAGCUCUAGAAGUUCCCGGGGAGUUGCUGUGAUGUAUUGUGGGGUUGUUAGUUUCAACAACUUCACCGCAGGCCUUCACUCAACCUGCAGAUCAAGCAUUGGAACAAGGUUUAUGGCAGAGAACAGGCACCCGACGGAGAGGCAAGUCUACCAUUAACGCAAGGCGCGUCUCCGCCUGAGUCUACCGGCAGGGUUCAAUCAGCGCGCUCGUUGAGCGCAGCUACGCACCAGAGGCUCAUCGGUGAUCAGCGCACCUGAAGCCAAUCUGCAGCCAGCUAUAAGAGAGGACGCUGACGCGCAGUCGUUGCCAGAUUGUGCCAUCUAGUACGAACCGCCGGUGCUUCUCGGGCUCCGUCUUCCUCGCGUCCCUUGUGUUCCUCGGACCCCUCUCCCUUGUGCUCCCACGCUGCCUCCCGCAGAACCCCUACUCCUGGACUUGUGCUUCACUAACACGCACAAACACCCUUCCAGUCAUUUACAUUCCUGCACACACGCACCACACUCGCCCUGCACACAGACACGUAGUCUUUUACACACCCCACAUCCAGGACUCUAGUUGCACCAUACACAUCCCGCAUUUCCCUUCCCUGAAUAGAAAUAAACGUGCCUACGGGCUUGACCCUGCCGGACCCCUGCACUUGUUCCUUUCCGACCCACAACAACAACGUCAGUUAUGUGAGUCGUGGCCGUGUCGCCUUUAUAAUUACGUAUUUUCACAGGCUUUUACUUCAAGUUUUACAAUAAACUUCGA